GCUUAAUUAGUAUAAAAAGUAUUAUAGACUUCCAAUCUGUAGGUCCAAAAAUUUCGGAUUAAGCA
rnacentral:tRNA from 1 species